rnacentral:rRNA from 1 species
AGAGUUUGAUCCUGGCUCAGGAUGAACGCUGACAGAAUGCUUAACACAUGCAAGUCGAUUCAAGUUACCUUCGGGUAAUGAGGAUGGCGGACGGGUGAGUAACGCGUAAGGAACUUGCCUCUUGGUCUGGGACAACUGUUGGAAACGACAGCUAAUACCGGAUAUUAUGAGAUUCUCGCAUGAGAAACUUAUGAAAGCUAUAUGCGCCAAGAGAGAGCCUUGCGUUCCAUUAGCUAGUUGGUGGGGUAAUGGCCCACCAAGGCGACGAUGGAUAGCCGGCCUGAGAGGGUGAACGGCCACAAGGGGACUGAGACACGGCCCUUACUCCUACGGGAGGCAGCAGUGGGGAAUAUUGGACAAUGGGCCACAAGCCUGAUCCAGCAAUUCUGUGUGCACGAUGAAGGUCUUCGGAUUGUAAAGUGCUUUCAGUUGGGAAGAAGAAAGUGACGGUACCAACAGAAGAAGCGACGGCUAAAUACGUGCCAGCAGCCGCGGUAAUACGUAUGUCGCAAGCGUUAUCCGGAUUUAUUGGGCGUAAAGCGCGUCUAGGCGGAAAGAUAAGUCUGAUGUGAAAAUGCGGGGCUCAACUCCGUAUUGCGUUGGAAACUGUCUUUCUAGAGUACUGGGGAGGUGGGCGGAACUACAAGUGUAGAGGUGAAAUGCGUAGAUAUAUGGAAGAACACCAGUGGCGAAGGCGGCUGUCUGGUCUGUAACUGACGCUGAGGCUCGAAAGCAUGGGUAGCAAACAGGAUUAGAUACCCUGGUAGUCCAUGCCGUAAACGAUGAGUGCUAGGUGUUGGAGGGUUUCCGCCCUUCAGUGCCGCAGCUAACGCAUUAAGCACUCCGCCUGGGGAGUACGACCGCAAGGUUGAAACUCAAAGGAAUUGACGGGGGCCCGCACAAGCGGUGGAGCAUGUGGUUUAAUUCGAAGCAACGCGAAGAACCUUACCAGGUCUUGACAUCCUUUGACCACUCUAGAGAUAGAGCUUUCCCUUCGGGGACAAAGUGACAGGUGGUGCAUGGUUGUCGUCAGCUCGUGUCGUGAGAUGUUGGGUUAAGUCCCGCAACGAGCGCAACCCUUAUUACUAGUUGCCAGCAUUUAGUUGGGCACUCUAGUGAGACUGCCGGUGACAAACCGGAGGAAGGUGGGGACGACGUCAAAUCAUCAUGCCCCUUAUGACCUGGGCUACACACGUGCUACAAUGGAUGGUACAACGAGUUGCGAGACCGCGAGGUUUAGCUAAUCUCUUAAAACCAUUCUCAGUUCGGAUUGUAGGCUGCAACUCGCCUACAUGAAGCCGGAAUCGCUAGUAAUCGCGGAUCAGCAUGCCGCGGUGAAUACGUUCCCGGGCCCUGCACUCACCGCCCGUCA